rnacentral:rRNA from 1 species
UAACGCGUGAGAAUCUAACUUCAGGACGGGGACAACAGUUGGAAACGACUGCUAAUACCCGAUGUGCCGCAAGGUGAAACCUAAUUGGCCUGAAGAAGAGCUUGCGUCUGAUUAGCUAGUUGGUGGGGUAAGAGCCUACCAAGGCGACGAUCAGUAGCUGGUCUGAGAGGAUGAGCAGCCACACUGGGACUGAGACACGGCCCAGACUCCUACGGGAGGCAGCAGUGGGGAAUUUUCCGCAAUGGGCGAAAGCCUGACGGAGCAACGCCGCGUGAGGGAGGAAGGUCUUUGGAUUGUAAACCUCUUUUCUCAAGGAAGAAGUUCUGACGGUACUUGAGGAAUCAGCCUCGGCUAACUCCGUGCCAGCAGCCGCGGUAAUACGGGGGAGGCAAGCGUUAUCCGGAAUUAUUGGGCGUAAAGCGUCCGCAGGUGGUCAGCCAAGUCUGCCGUCAAAUCAGGUUGCUUAACGACCUAAAGGCGGUGGAAACUGGCAGACUAGAGAUCAGUAGGGGUAGCAGGAAUUCCCAGUGUAGCGGUGAAAUGCGUAGAGAUUGGGAAGAACAUCGGUGGCGAAAGCGUGCUACUGGGGCUGGUAUCUGACACUCAGGGACGAA